AGUCUUGGCUUCUUCCUUUUCAUCAAUCAUUGCUAGGGUUCGCUGGAUUCUGAGCGAGGACAUGGUUCCACCACGUUGAAUGCGAUGGCGAGGUUCAUCAGUCCGACGAACUUCGCCACAACCUUAUCAGCCUGUGCCCAGUGCUCCCCAUAUGCAACCACGAGAUUUCAAAUCUCUCCCUCGAUAUUCCUUGCCAUGGCAAGUCCGAAGUCUGAUCGCGAGGAAUAUCGAGAGAGCUUCGAAAUCUUGCAGUUGCAGAUGGGGAGCACCGGACAUAGGGUUGUUGCGAAGUUUUCCGGACUGAUGAACCUUGCCGUCUCAUUCAACGUGGGUGGAAGCAUCGUCCUCACUCAGAAUCCGGCGUUCCACUGCCAGCAAGUCGCUGAAAUGAUCAUAUUGUGGAUUGUAGUGCUCUCUGUGGGAGCCGCGUUUCCCUGCACGCUGCCUAUAAGAAGAUUGCUGCUCUUGAUGCUGAUGCGAAAUCCCUCUUGUACGGAUUCGAUCAAUCGCAAGCGGAGCAAGCCUAAGUCGAAAUUUCUCCACCACAGGAGCCGCUGGCACAGGGGAGAGAGGGUCAGUGGCCCUGCUUCAAUCGGAUAAAAAGUUUUCUUCUCCAUCUAUUUGGCAUGGCGCAGGAGACAUGGUAGUGGGACACAGGUUCCGCUAAACCAGCUGCAGUUUCUUGGCGUUUAGUUUACUUAUCUCUUCAAGUUUGGAGGAAAACCGCAACUCCCACAGUUUGGUGAUCAUACUCGAUAUUGAACACGUUUUGUCAGAAUCAUCGUAAGUCAAUGCUUAAUUUCGCCGGUAUAUGCCUUUUCAUCUUGCAGCAAUAUUUGCAAGUCUGUGUUAUACGCAGCUUUGGUUAUGGAGAUAUGGUUGAAUUUUGAGAAAAUUCCCUUUGUGCUUGUUGAAAGCAAUUAUACGUGGAGAUCACCUGACUUUCUAGCUGAUGGAUAUCUAUGAUUCUUUAUUACUAUUGAGAAA